AUGGAGGCGACCGUGCUGAGCGUGGGCAAAUCCGUGGUGAUCGGAGCCCUUAACUGCGCCAAAUCUGCCGUCGCGGAGGAGGUGGCUUUGCAGCUCGGUGUCCAACGAGAUCAUGUGUUUAUCACAGAUGAGCUUGAGAUGAUGCAAGCUUUUCUGAUGGCAGCCCACGAGGAGGAAGAUGACAACAAGGUGAUCAAGACCUGGGUAAAGCAAGUCCGCGAUGUGGCCUACGACGUUGAGGACUGCCUCCAGGAUUUGGUGGUUCGUCUGGAGAAACUAUCAUGGUGGCGCUUACCGUUCAUGCUGCUAUACCGGCGUAGUGUGGCCAAACAGAUGAAGGAUCUUAGAGCCAAGGUGGAGGAUAUCAGCCAGAGAAAUGUGCGUUACCGUCUCAUCGUGGGCUCAGCUGCCUCAAAGAUAAAACCUACCACCGCUGCAGCUGAGCAGUCUGCCAUCAAAACAGAAGUACUACUUCACAUCUCUCAAGCUACACGAAGUGCGCUCCUGGAAAAGGAAAAGAAAAAGGUGGAUCUUGUCAAAUUGGUCAUGGAGGAUAAAAAUGACCUUAGGGUCAUCGCAGUGUGGGGAGCAAGCAGCAACGUUGGUGUCACAUCCAUCAUUAGGGCAGCCUAUGAUAACGCAUCUGUAAGAGGACAGUUUCAGUGCCGAGCCUGGGUAAGGAUGAUACAACCCUUCCAUCCAAAUGACUUUUUUGUGAGCAUGGUGAGGCAGUUUUAUGAGGGUUCAUGUGAAGAAAACGGAAAAUCAACAGAAGGUACAACAACAACAGGGCUCAAGGUUUUGGAGAAGAUGAAGGCACAGGACAAUCUGGUUCAUGAGUUUAAUCGGUAUGUGACUGACAAGAGUUAUCUGGUCGUUAUCAAUGACGUAGCUACCAUUGAAGAGUGGGACUGGAUCAAAACAUACUUCCCUAGCAAGAAAGGCAGCCGAAUUGUUGUAUCCACGCAGCACUUUGAAGUUGCUAGUCUCUGCACAGAGCAGCCUUACACGGCAACAGCGAUAGACCAGAAAUGGUCAUCCGAUAAGGACUUUUAUGUCUUCCACAAAAAGGUGGAUAGCAAGCCCGAGUCCGGCUCAAAAUCUGUCAUGGGUAGUGCUAGCUCAUCUGCAGCUGUAGGUGGUGAGGAUGAACAAGUACAGAAUCCUACUCGCGCCAGUACUGUGGCAGCUGCGUUGGAGGAAGAUCAGCUUAUCAACCGGCCAGCAGCAAAUGCUAAAGUUAUGAAAUUAGUUCAUCAAGGUCGUCGCGAGGUGAUCACCGUUUGUGGCAUGGGUGGUCUUGGGAAAACAACCCUUUUAACAAGUCUUUGGCAACAAGAACUUGGCAAAGGGUUUCAGAGGCGCGCCUGGUUAACCAUAUCGAGUUCUUUCAACAGUAAGGAGUUCCAUAGGGAUUUGCUCCAGCAAUUAGAUGAUGAUUGCCAAGAAGGGGAAGGAAAUGCUGACAUUCCAAAAAUGCCAAGUGAGUCAGUUGGCAACCAAGACAAUGAAGCGCAAAUGAUUCAAGAUCUGAUCAAGAUUUUAUGGGAGCAGAAAUGCCUCCUCGUUUUCGACGACGUGUCAUCCAUUGUGGACUGGCAGUUGAUAUUGCAGCUCUUGCCUACAUCCAGAAAUGUUGCCAAUCGGAUCAUUGUCACGACGAGAGAACUUAAUGUUGCUAAAUGUUGUUCUUUGGACGAAGAACAAAUAUACAAUCUGGAGUUGCUAGAUGACGCAGAGGCUCUUCUGCUAUUCGAAAAGAAGGUAUUCAAGGAUGCCAAGGAGAACGAAUUUUUUCAUCGCAAUUCUGACAUUGCUGAGCAAGCAAAUCUUAUACUGAAGAAGUGUGGUGGCCUCCCUCUUGCAAUAUCCACUGUCGGCAGCUUCCUGGCAACCAAGCCUAAAACUGAUAUGGAGUGGAGAAUUUUGAAUAAAUAUAUUAGUGUUGAGCUAGAGAUGAACCCUGAGCUUGGGAUGAUAAAGACGGUACUUGUGUUGAGCUAUGAUGGCUUACCUUAUCAUCUCAAGUGUUGCUUCUUGUACCUGUCAAUUUUUCCCGAAGACCACAAAAUUAGAUGGACACGCUUGGUGAGACGGUGGAUUGCAGAGGGUUACUCAAGAGGGAUUCGGAACAAGAAUGCUGAGGAAACUGGGAACAGCUACGUCACUGAGCUUAUCAAUAGGAGCAUCAUUCAACCAUCAAAAGGGACAACCUAUAGAACUGGGAAGAUUGAGUUUUUGCAGGUUCAUGAUCUCAUCCGUGAAAUUGGAAUCUCAAAAUCAACAGAGGAAAAUCUUGUUUUUACUCUAGAAGAAGGUUCCAUAAACCCACCAGAAGGGAAAAUUCGCCACCUUGCUAUAAGCAGUAGCUGGAGAAGAGAUAAGAAUGCAUUUGGGAGUGUUGUGGAGUUGUCUCGUCUUAGAUCGUUAACUGUAUUUGGAGAGUGGCACCCAUGCUUUAUCUCAGACAAGAUGAGAGUGCUUCGAGUGCUAGAUUUGGAAGACACAGAAGGUAUAAGAACUGAACACCUCCAUCAAAUUGGGAAGCUUCUUCACCUAAAAUACCUUUCACUAAGAAGUUGUGAUGGGAUUUUACGGCUGCCAAAUUCACUGGGGAAAUUAAGGCACCUGGAGACCCUGGAUGUCAGAGACACAUGCAUAGCGGAGCUCCCAAAAACAAUUACCAAACUUUCCAAGUUGCGGUAUCUUCAUGUGGGCUCGAUACCAGGUCACGAGGACGAGCCAGGAAUUAUACGAAUUGGCAGGUUCAAAGGCCACCACCGGCGGACCAAGCGCUGCUACGGUUGCAAGAGCUGCACGGCGUGCCUAUUUUCUUGUUUCUGCUGCUUGUUGUUUCUCGCACAAUCUUGUAAAUGGAAGCAACGGCGACAACCACGUGGAGUGAAGUUUCCGAGGGGAAUUCAGAAACUCAAGGCCCUGCACACCAUGGGUUUUGUCAAUAUCGAUGAGUUGGAUAAUGCAACUAUUCUUGAAGAUCUCCGGUGCCUCACCGAGUUGCGCAAGUUAAGAGUGAACGGUCUUAACGAGAGAAACUCCAGCAAGUUCUUCUCAGCCAUUAGCAGUCACAAAUACCUGGUAUCCUUGCUGGUCCGUUCAGAGGGGCAGCCUGGCUUAUCUGGCUGCUUGGAGUUGGAGGGCAUGCCAACGCCUCCCAGGGAGCUGCAGAGUCUCAAGCUAUAUGGUCAUCUAGUCAAAUUGCCAGCAUGGAUUGAGGGGCUCAAACAUCUCGUGAAGUUGGAGCUACGGAGCUCUAGGUUGUCGGAACAUCGUGCCUCCAUACAAGUCCUUGGGAAGCUACCAAACCUGGCCAUCCUCCGUCUGUUAGACAAAUCGUUCAAGAGUAAAUUUGGGUUGUUGGUGUCCUGGUUCGGUGCUGGACUCGUCCAUCUCCGUUUCCAUCAAGAGGCGUUCCCGAGGCUAGUGGUGCUGGAGCUGUAUCGCAUAGAUGACCUCAUAUCCGUAAAGUUUGAACAAGGAGCAGCCACUAAGCUGGAGCUGUUGCAGUUCUGUAGUGCGCGUCAACAGGAAACCAAAGUUGGGGUGUUUGAAGGGCUACCAUCUCUCCCAAGCCUCAAGGAAGUUGUGCUCAAGGGUAACUGUGAGGAUGGUGUGAUGGACGAGUUGCGGGCCCAGCUUGCCAGGAAUCCAAACCGCCCAGUUUUGAAGAGGGUCUAG
rnacentral:rRNA from 1 species